UCGGGAAUUUUGGGCAAUGGGGGAAACCCUGACCCGGCAACGCCGCGUGAAGGAUGAAGUAUUUCGGUAUGUAAACUUCGAAAGAAUAGGAAGAAUAAAUGACGGUACUAUUUAUAAGGUCCGGCUAACUACGUGCCAGCAGCCGCGGUAAUACGUAGGGACCAAGCGUUGUUCGGAUUUACUGGGCGUAAAGGGCGCGUAGGCGGCAUGACAAGUCACUUGUGAAAUCUCUGGGCUUAACCCAGAACGGCCAAGUGAUACUGUCGCGCUAGAGUGCAGAAGGGGCAAUCGGAAUUCUUGGUGUAGCGGUGAAAUGCGUAGAUAUCAAGAGGAACACCUGAGGUGAAGACGGGUUGCUGGGCUGACACUGACGCUGAGGCGCGAAAGCCAGGGGAGCAAACGGGAUUAGAUACCCAAGUAGUCCCUGAGCGGGCUGGCAAGGCGCAU
rnacentral:rRNA from 1 species